AUACGGAGGAUGCGAGCGUUAUCCGGAUUUAUUGGGUUUAAAGGGUGCGCAGGCGGCCAUUUAAGUCAGCGGUUAAGUCGUGGGGCUCAACCCCAUUCUGCCGUUGAUACUGGGUGGCUUGAUUGCGGGCGAGGUUGGCGGAAUUCGUUGUGUAGCGGUGAAAUGCGUAGAUAUGACGAAGAACACCGAUUGCGAAGGCAGCCCACGGGACCAUCAAUGACGCUCAUGCACGAAAGCGUGGGGAGCAAACAGGAUUAGAGACCCUGGUAGUCCACGCCCUAAACGAGGUCAACUGGUUGUUGGAGGAGUUAAAUCCUUUAGUAACGAAGCUAAAGCGUGAAGUUGACCGCCUGGGAAGUACGGGGGCAAGGUUAAAACUCAAAAGAAUUGACGGGG
rnacentral:rRNA from 1 species